rnacentral:lncRNA from 1 species
GACGAAUGGUAUAUAUAUGUAUAUAUAUGUAUUUUUUUAUCUGAAAAUUGUUCAUCACAUUCACAAAUGAAACUAUUUGAAGUAAUGUUGCUGCAUUUUCCACGGAAACAGAUAUGUGGUUGACAUCGGCCAAUUAUUUCUGAGCAAUUCAUUCCUAUAACAAUGAAAAAAGGUUUAUUUACAUUGCAUGUCAAUAUUAUAAUCAUCAGUUUUCCCUCAAUUCUUUAAUAAAAAUGUCAAAUUCUGACAAAUAUAAUUUCAGUUAUGAAACCAUGUUAUAUGAUGCUGCAUUUAAAUUGAAAUAAAAAUUAAUUUUGAUACUUUACAUAAGUUUUUCCUCUUCUGACCCCAGACUAUAAUAUCCAAAUAUUUUUUCUGGCUAGUGGUAUUUGAACUUUAUUUAAUUUACAUAAUAUUUUAAAAUUUUAAUUGUUUUUUCAUGGUAGAUAAUAUUAGUACAUGUAAGUACCAGUUUUUCAACUUACACUGAUAAUAUUGCAGUGGUAAUUUACAAAGUGACACAUUCAAAUGUGCAUUGUGUCUCACCCUUAUGCCCUAGCCAAAGGAACAAUUCAAAAUGAGAAACAGCUGCCUGGAUUUUCAGAAUAUGUGCACAAACUUGCAAAUUCAACACUUCUUUGCCCUUGCUGGCCUAUCAAAUUUUCCAAAUCUCACUUACACAUACUAUUGUGGUCCCACUAUAUCAGGUGACAUAGCCUUCCAUAACAUACUUGUACUAUGCAUAUUUAAUCAUCUUAUAAUACGCUUAGUAGAGGAAUGUGCCUUGGAAAUCUCAGGGCAUAGC